AGGGGGGGCCUGCCUACCAUGCAAGUCGAACGCGAAAGGGGGCAACCCCCGGUAGCGUGGCAGACGGGUGAGUAACACGUGGGUAACCUACCCCGAGGUGGGGGAUAACCCUCCGAAAGGAGGGCUAAUACCGCAUGACACCUGGAGGUUCGCGGACCUCCAGAUCAAAUCUAGCCUCUGCUUGCAAGCUAGCGCCACGGGAGGGGCCCGCGCCCCAUUAGCUAGUUGGUGAGGUAACGGCUCACCAAGGCAACGAUGGGUAGCCGGCCUGAGAGGGCGAUCGGCCACACUGGAACUGAGACACGGUCCAGACUCCUACGGGAGGCAGCAGUGAGGAAUAUUGCGCAAUGGGCGAAAGCCUGACGCAGCGACGCCGCGUGGAGGACGAAGGUCUUCGGAUCGUAAACUCCUGUCGAGCGGGACGAAGCCGGGGCGGUGAAUAGCCGCUUCGGUUGACGGUACCGCUAAAGGAAGCCCCGGCUAACUCCGUGCCAGCAGCCGCGGUAAUACGGAGGGGGCCAGCGUUGUUCGGAAUCAUUGGGCGUAAAGGGCGCGUAGGCGGCCUGGUAAGUCCGUUGUGAAAUCCCUCGGCUCAACCGAGGAACUGCGACGGAUACUGCUUGGCUUGAGUCCCGGAGAGGGUAGCGGAAUUCCCAGUGUAGCGGUGAAAUGCGUAGAUAUUGGGAGGAACAUCGGUGGCGAAGGCGGCUACCUGGACGGGUACUGACGCUGAGGCGCGAAAGCUAGGGGAGCAAACAGGAUUAGAUACCCUGGUAGUCCUAGCUGUAAACGAUGGGCACUUGGUGUUGCGGGUAUCGACCCCUGCAGUGCCGAAGCUAACGCAUUAAGUGCCCCGCCUGGGGAGUACGGUCGCAAGGCUGAAACUCAAAGGAAUUGACGG
rnacentral:rRNA from 1 species